rnacentral:tRNA from 1 species
GCAUCUGCUUCCGUAGCAUAGUGGUAUUGCGUUCGCUUCGUAAGCGAAAGGUCGCGAGUUCGAUCCUCGCCGGGAGCUUGUUUUAUUCUCCUUUAUUUGUUUUUAGCCCAAUUGAGUCCAAUUUCCAGACCAAAAUCUAUACGUUUCUGAAAUUUCCAAAAUAUAGCUAGCCUCAUCAAAAGCUUCCGUAGCAUAGUGGUAGUGCGUUCGCUUCGUAAGCGAGAGGUCGCGAGUUCGAUCCUCGCCGGGAGCUUG